CGGAGGAAGCCUGUCGAGAAGGCAGUUCUUUAUUUAUAGAAGGGUGAGGGAUGUCUCCCAAAAAUCUAAGAGGAGCGGAGACAGAGUGGAGCCCUGCUGCGUGGGGAAAGAAUCCGUUUCCUAUCCAGAUAGAAGAAACGCAUCACAGCGAGGAGCAGCCUGGUGGGAGGGAGUGAACCCGUGAGCCCCGUUCUCUUCAGGAGUGCCAGGAUGUGCCAAAGCAGAUGGCCUCAGUCAGGCAGGUGUCUCCCUGGAGGGCAGAUCCCAGCUCUAACUCACGCACCUACUGCAAGUGUUUCUGAGGCUUAGGGAAAGCCACCCUGCCGAGGACCUGAGUAUUUGGCUAGGCCUGUCAGCACGGGGAAUGCAGCCCUCACAGGAACGCCAGCAGAGAAUGCCUGGUUUGCUCAGUAAUUGCAUUACCUGGGAAAUGGCUGUCAGUCUGAGCAAGGUGAUGCUGGCUUACGCGUUGCCUGGAUAUUGGGGGAAUUUUGUUGAUAAGCAGCACUUUGACAAGGUGGAAUAAAACAUAGUAUCCUGGAAAAGACACGCCAAAUAGCAACUUAUACAUACUAGGCAAUACUUUACAAAGUCUCCCUGAGGAACAGCAAGAUGCAAUUCAAAUGUAUAAGAUAAAUUCAAUGUCUUGUUCAGUCUUAAAAGAGCUUUUAAGAGAGGUCUAGCUGCAGCUGGUUGGAGCAGAGGAGGAACGAAAGGGUGAAAUGUUAUGCUUUGCCUUUAAGGGCUCAAAAUAAACUGGAACAUAAGGUGGAGGGAUUUCCUGGGUUGCUGUAGCUUUCAGCCUUUGCAAAUGCUAUAUUAUAUAAUUCUGUCAUAAAUGUAUCAAGUUUCAUCUUAAGAUCUUUUGCCACCAUUAUUCCCACUGGGAAGCUGUUCCCAGAACCUCCUUCAGAUUUUCAUGCUAAAUAUAUUUGUGACUGUGGUUUGUAUCCACAUGUUCUUGCACCAGUGUUGGCCUUAAAAAGCUCCUACUCCAUAGCAUUUACCCUUUUUACCCUUUGUGUGUUUACAGUUCCUCCUGGCCUUCGUUUGACUGGUCUCAGAAGUGACUUUCUGUUCCUGCUUCAAUAUUCUUUCUUUUUAAUAUACACCACCGGAACAGAGCACAGUGUUCUUGACAGUAUCAUGCCAGACACAAGGACAGUGGUAUUAAUCCAUUCUAAACUAUGUUAGGAAUAUUGCUCCCAAGACCUCUUAUGGCCUUGUUUUCCAUGUCAUGUUGGCAGCUCUUCUGGGGUCAGCUACUGUGUGCAGUGAGACUUCCCUCUCUCACUUCUCUCCCAAACUUCAAAGAGGUUGGUCAGGGUCUACCUUUCUUUGCUGUCCCUUCUGUAUAAAAUGUAGGGACUGCAGACAAAACUAGCUGGUGAUAAAUUCAAAACAACGAAGAGAGGUAAUUAGUGUCAUGUCAGAGAAAUACAGAAUGGCUCGAGUUGGAAGGGACCUUAAAGAUUACCAGGCUCCAACCCCACUGCUGUAGGUUUAUUGCCUCCAAUUAGAUCAGGCUGCCCAGGGCCUCAUUCAGCCUGACCUUGAAUAUCUCCAGGGAUGGGGCAUCUACAACUUCUCUGGGCAGUCUGUUCCAGGGCCUCACCACUCUGAGUAAAUAAUUUCCUCCUCAUGUUUUACCUAAAUCUCCCCUCUCUUAGUUUAAAACCAUCCCACCUUGUCCUAUUCCUACAUCCCCUGACAAAGAAUCAGUCAUCAGCCUCCUAGAGCCAUAUUGAGGAACUAUAAUCUUGUGGAGAUGAACAACAUCAUCCAUACUUUGCAUUUGAAAUGUUAGAAUUUGAGCUCACACGUCCUCAGUGAUGGCAGAGCAACACUUACAGUGAUCAGUACAAACAGGGAAAAGUCCAGCGAUGUAAGAGGUACAGAAGCAUUUGUCAGAUUAGGUUUGAGAGCAAGUCCUUGUGUUGAGCCUUCAGCUCAAACCAUAAAGGCUUUGAAAGUGUAUUUGGUAGAGCAGAAUGAAUUCAGUAUAUCCCGCUGCUUUUAAGAAAUAUUUGUUCAAGAAAUAGUAAUCUCUGCAUACUGUGAGAAAUUAGGGCCCAAUGGAUUCCAUACAGUAUAAACCAGAAGCACCAACCUCACCUUCAACCUGACCCUGCUUGUCUUCUGUAAAAAAAAUUGCAUCUCUCAUUAAAAAAUAUUUAAUGUGUUUUUCAGCAGAGGAUUUCUUUCAAGGGUUCAUGCUGCAGCUGUCGAAUAGCAGUGAGAAAAUGUUCCCAGGUGAGCUGGUGAAGUUUUGUUAGCAAGCCGUUGAACAAUAUAUGAAUCACAAGUAAGAAUAAAAGUGAACAGGCUCUAUCUCAGGAAAAGCCAGGACUAGAAGGCUUUACACAUUCAGUGCCACUGCUGCAAGACCAGAAGGGUUGGAGACAACAAAAGGUAAGUUGCUAAAACAUCCGAGUGAUCACAUUCAUUAGAAAGAUCCAUUGUUUUGACCUUUAUAUGGGCAUUUUCCUGAUAAUACAUAUUGUUCUAAGUUAUUAUUUCAAUACAAUGCAAGCUGAACGUGGAAGGCGCUUUCUUGCUAUAUCUUCAUAAAACUACUGGUUAAUUCCUACAUGUAGAUCAUUUUUGUCCAGGUGAAUCCCAGUAGCACCCACUACCAGCCUGGGCUCGUGUACUGCCUCUGAGCGAAAGCACAGCUGUAGUUGUGCUAAUUUUUUGCCCUAAUUGUACCCUGGACGUGGGACUUCCUGAGGUCCCCUCCAAACAUCUCUCCAAUAUACAAAGACGUAUCUUUGUGUGGAAAUUCUAGGAGUUCCACAGGGACUGCUGCAGCCACAGGGUGCCUUGGAACAGUCUGGAAGCUGAAGCACUUGUUAAACAUUCGUUCUCUGUUAAAUAUCUUUUGGCCAUUUCUUACACUUUUGUAUCAACACAUCUAUUUGUGGAGAUUUAUGUAUGUAUGUCAUUGGCCAUUUGAUGGUUGCAUUUCAGUGCGCGGUGGCCACAAACAGCCAGGCUGCACUGCCUUGGUGCCACCUGCCACGUCCUGCAGUGUGGAACGUUGGAGAGC
ensembl:lncRNA